rnacentral:rRNA from 1 species
UAGAUGCGAGAGUAGAGCAUAUCAAUAAGCGGAGGAAAAGGAAACUAACAAGGAUUCCCUUAGUAACGGCGAGUGAAGCGGGAAGAGCUCAAAUUUGAAAUCUUCAAGGUUCUACCUUGACGAAUUGUAGUUUAUAAGAAGUGUUUCUCUGUUAGUGGAGUGGCUAAAAGUUCUUUGGAAUAGGACAUCAUAGAGGGUGAGAAUCCCGUAUUUGGUCAUUCCUCCUAGCGUUGUGAUACACUCUCAACGAGUCGGAUUGUUUGGGAAUGCAGUCCAAAAUGGGUGGUAAAUUUCAUCUAAAGCUAAAUAUUGGCGAGAGACCAAUAGCGAACAAGUACCGUGAGGGAAAGAUGAAAAGAACUUUGAAAAGAGAGUUAAACAGUACGUGAAAUUGUCAAAAGGGAAGCGUUUGACACCAGUGUUGUUUUCUCGAAAAUCAAUUAAAAAUGAUGGGAUUUUGUGUUGUAUUGACUUUAUCAGCUUUCUGCACUUUUUUCUUAUCUUUUUUAAUGCACUUUUCGUUUAACAAGUCAACAUCAAUUUCUUUUGUUGUAAAAGAGUCAUUGGAAGGUGGCUUUUUCUUCGGAAAAAGUGUUUAUAGCCUUUGGCUUCUGCAAUCGGAGAGAUUGAGGUCUGCAGCGUAGAUCCUUCGGGGUUAGAUACAUUUGUGCUAAGCUAUAGUUCUUUAUAGACAACUUGUUGACUAUAAUCAAUCCUGUAACUUACUCGCUUAUGCUAUUUUACCUACGCUUAGGAUGUUGACGCCGUGUGUGCGUG